CAAAGUUUGCAGGAAAUUAAAAU
rnacentral:snRNA from 1 species